rnacentral:rRNA from 1 species
AACGAACGCUGGCGGCAGGCUUAACACAUGCAAGUCGAGCGAGACCUUCGGGUCUAGCGGCGGACGGGUGAGUAACGCGUGGGAACGUGCCCUUCUCUACGGAAUAGCCCCGGGAAACUGGGAGUAAUACCGUAUACGCCCUUUGGGGGAAAGAUUUAUCGGAGAAGGAUCGGCCCGCGUUGGAUUAGGUAGUUGGUGGGGUAAUGGCCCACCAAGCCGACGAUCCAUAGCUGGUUUGAGAGGAUGAUCAGCCACACUGGGACUGAGACACGGCCCAGACUCCUACGGGAGGCAGCAGUGGGGAAUCUUAGACAAUGGGGGCAACCCCUGAUCUAGCCAUGCCGCGUGAGUGAUGAAGGCCUUAGGGUUGUAAAGCUCCUU